rnacentral:rRNA from 1 species
GACGUAGGGCGCAAGCGUUUGUCCGGAAUUAUUGGGCGUAAAGAGCUCGUAGGCGGCUUGUUGCGUCGACUGUGAAAAACCACGACUCAACCGUGGGACUGCAGUCGAUACGGGCAGGCUAGAGUUCGGUAGGGGAGACUGGAAUUCCUGGUGUAGCGGUGAAAUGCGCAGAUAUCAGGAGGAACACCGGUGGCGAAGGCGGGUCUCUGGGCCGAUACUGACGCUGAGGAGCGAAAGCGUGGGGGAGCGAACAGG